rnacentral:rRNA from 1 species
AUUGAACGCUGGCGGCAUGCCUUACACAUGCAAGUCGAACGGCAGCACGGGAGCAAUCCUGGUGGCGAGUGGCGAACGGGUGAGUAAUAUAUCGGAACGUGCCCAGUCGUGGGGGAUAACGCAGCGAAAGCUGUGCUAAUACCGCAUACGAUCUACGGAUGAAAGCGGGGGAUCGCAAGACCUCGCGCGAUUGGAGCGGCCGAUAUCAGAUUAGCUAGUUGGUGGGGUAAAGGCCCACCAAGGCGACGAUCUGUAGCUGGUCUGAGAGGACGACCAGCCAGACUGGAACUGAGACACGGUCCAGACGCCUACGGGAGGCAGCAGUGGGGAAUUUUGGACAAUGGGCGCAAGCCUGAUCCAGCAAUGCCGAGUGCAGGAUGAAGGCCUUCGGGUUGUAAACUGCUUUCGUACGGAACGAAACGGCCCUAUCUAAUACAGGGGGCUCAUGACGGUACCGUAAGAAUAAGCACCGGCUAACUACGUGCCAGCCGCCGCAGUAA